rnacentral:rRNA from 1 species
UACGUAGGGGUCUAGCGUUGUCCGGAAUUAUUGGGCGUAAAGAGCUCGUAGGCGGUUUGUCGCGUCUGCCGUGAAAACUCGGGGCUUAACUCCGGGCCUGCAGUGGGUACGGGCAGACUAGAGUGCGGUAGGGGAGACUGGAAUUCCUGGUGUAGCGGUGAAAUGCGCAGAUAUCAGGAGGAACACCGGUGGCGAAGGCGGGUCUCUGGGCCGUAACUGACGCUGAGGAGCGAAAGCGUGGGGAGCGAACAGG